CCCUCACCAGGUGCCCUAAGCUGGAGAGUCUCACCCUGUCCGGCGGCGUCCCUGACACCGUGAGCCUGGAGCCCCUCACCAGGUGCCCUGAGCUGGAGAGUCUCACCCUGUCCGGCGGCGUUCCUGACGCCGUGCUGGACAGUCUCAGCGGCUGCCCCGGCCUGGAGUACCUUACACUGGGGGACUGCCAGCGGCCGGCAGAGACGGCCUUCACAGCAGUAGCGGUCACCAGACUGGUGAAGUCGUGUCGGAAGCUGUGCCAUCUGUUCCUUCACUGCACGGCAGACACCGGCCGGGCCGUGCUGACCGCCCUGAAGGAGGCGGACCUGGGCUGGUACAGUGAUGGCCGGCCCCGUACCAUCCGGCUCCGUGUCCCCGUGGAGCUGUACCGUCAGCUGAAGAGCCAGGAAGGCGAUGGGGUUAGAGUGUCUCCGUGGUGCUGAUUGAUGCGCUGCACUACCGACCGUGCAGUGAUGAGCUGACUGCAGAGAGGCCGAGCCAGUCGGCCGGGGCCGCCAGCUGACUGCUGCCGUGUGUGCUGCACCAGCCGGCACUGAAAGCGGCGCCGGUCAGCCGGCACACGGCCCCGGUGUCCGCUCUAGUGUAGUCAUGUAGUUGUAGUAGUAGUAGUGUAGAUGUAGUAGUAGCACACGGAUGUGAUGUAGUGGGUAAUUACCAGGUGGGUAUUGUGGGUAAUUGGCUGGAACGAUUUGAUCUAGCGGGUAAUAACCGGGUGGGUGUUGUGGGUAGUUGGCUGGAAGGAUGUGACCUGGUGGGUAAUUACCGGUUGGGUAUUGUGGAUAAUUGGACAGUGAAAAGUGAUGUGCUGGAGAGACUACCGAUCGUGGCAUUACGCUAUUCUGUAUGUAGAACACACGUCUCUGACGGUCCGACUCGGUUCACCGCGCCUGGUCCCGGCGGCACGGCCGGCCUCGGUCACGUGACCGUCCCCCGGUGGAGUCGGACGGCUCGGUCACGUGACCGCUCCCCCCGGGUCUGGCUGCACCUCGGCUCGGCGGUGCUGAGCGCCGUGCUGAGCGUGUUGUGACACGUCCCACACGGACAGCUCUACUCGACUACUGGCUAGCUGCCGUCCGAGCUGGCAGUAUACACGCGGUGCCAGUUCAGACGGCGGCCGGCCGCGCCGCGCCCGCCCGCUCCGGUCCCGGCCGGCGGCCGUCACCCGGCCCGGGGCGGGGACCGGUCCGUCAGCUGACCAUUGGUCCGUCAGCUGACCAUUGGUCAGUCAGCUGAUUGAUCAGUCAGCUGAUUGGUCCGUCAGCUGAUUGGUCCGUCAGCUGAUUGGUCCGUCAGCCGUCCCGCCCUCUACCGGCGGAGCGCGGCGCACGCCGAGACUCGAGACGUCAAACACGAUGUAUAUAGGUUUAGGCUGGGUUUAGGUUUAAUUGGAGUGUCUUGUGUAGACCCUAUGUCUAUUCUACUCUAUAUCUACCUACUAUAUAUACACGAGAGGAGUUGCUUGAGCUGUAUCAUAUA